CACGUAGGGCGCAAGCGUUGUCCGGAAUUAUUGGGCGUAAAGAGCGUGUAGGCGGCCUGAAAGGUCAGCUGUGAAAACUCGAGGCUCAACCUCGAGACGUCGGUUGAAACCAUCUGGCUAGAGUCCGGAAGAGGAGUGUGGAAUUCCCGGUGUAGCGGUGAAAUGCGCAGAUAUCGGGAAGAACACCCGUGGCGAAGGCGGCACUCUGGGACGGUACUGACGCUGAGACGCGAAAGCGUGGGGAGCGAACAGG
rnacentral:rRNA from 1 species